AAACUUCAUCCCCUCUUUCUCAUUUUUGUUUCUUCUUUCUACAGCCAACUUUCUCCAAAUUUGAAGAAGAAAAAUCAAGUUAAAACCUUAUAUCAUCCCAAUUUUGAAAGGCUUAAGCAAAGGAGCAAGAAGAACUAACAAUCCAAGCUUAAAGAACCCUAAUUUCCUUGAAGUGUUUUGGUAGAGUUUGAAGGGAGAAAGGGUGGCAGUUGGAAUUCAAGUGAGGUCAAUGUUGUAAUCUUUAUCUUUGACCAUAUUUAAGUAGAGAUUUCUUUAUGGGUAAGGUAGAAACAUCUAGAAAUGGAAUUGAAAGCUUGUAUGUGUGCUGGAACACUGGUUCUGCAAAU
rnacentral:misc_RNA from 1 species